GAUAAACGCUGGCGGCGCACAUAAGACAUGCAAGUCGAACGAACUUAACCUUUAGUUUACUAAUGGAGCGGUUAGUGGCGGACUGGUGAGUAACACGUAAGCAACCUGCCUAUCAGAGGGGAACAACAGUUAGAAAUGACUGCUAAUACCGCAUAUGCCUUGAAUAUCACAUGAUAUAAAAGGGAAAGGAGCAAUCCGCUGAUAGAUGGGCUUGCGUCUGAUUAGAUAGUUGGUGGGGUAACGGCCUACCAAGUCGACGAUCAGUAGCCGGACUGAGAGGUUGAACGGCCACAUUGGAACUGAGAAACGGUCCAGACUCCUACGGGAGGCAGCAGUGGGGAAUAUUGGGCAAUGGAGGCAACUCUGACCCAGCGACGCCGCGUGAGUGAUGAAGGUCUUCGGGUUGUAAACCUCUGUCCUCAGUGACGAAUAAAGUGACGGUAGCUGAGGAGGAAGCCACGGCUAACUACGUG
rnacentral:rRNA from 1 species